rnacentral:rRNA from 1 species
GACGAACGCUGGCGGCGUGCUUAACACAUGCAAGUCGAACGAUGUGGCGAACGGGUGCGUAAUACUUGGGUAACCUGCCCUCCUUUUUGGGAUAAGCCUUGGAAACGGUGUCUAAUACCGAAUACAGGGGGAUGGGCUCGCGGCCUAUCAGCUUGUUGGUGGGGUGAUGGCCUACCAAGGCGGUGACGGGUAGCCGGCCUGAGAGGGUGACCGGCAACAUUGGGACUGAGAGAAGGCCCAGACGACUACGGGGGGCGGCAGUGGGGGAUAGGGAACAAUGGGCGAAAGCCUGAUGCAGCGACGCCGCGUGGGGGAUGAAGGCUUUCGGGUUGUAAACUUCUUUAGCUAUCGAACGGGUAGGUAGAGAAGAAGCGCCGGCUAACUACGUGCCAGCAGCCGCGGUAAUAC